GUUUGUGGCCCCCUUAGAGUUUGAUCCUGGUUCAGCACGCACGCUGGCGGCGUGCGUAAUACAUGCAAGUCGAGCGGACAGAUGGGAGCUUGCUCCCUGAUGUCAGCGGCGGACGGGUGAGUAACACGUGGGUAACCUGCCCGUAAGACUGGGAUAACUCCGGGAAACCGGGGCUAAUACCGGAUGGUUGUUUGAACCGCAUGGUUCAAACAUAAAAGGUGGCUUCGGCUACCACUUACAGAUGGACCCGCGGCGCAUUAGCUAGUUGGUGAGGUAACGGCUCACCAAGGCAACGAUGCGUAGCCGACCUGAGAGGGUGAUCGGCCACACUGGGACUGAGACACGGCCCAGACUCCUACGGGAGGCAGCAGUAGGGAAUCUUCCGCAAUGGACGAAAGUCUGACGGAGCAACGCCGCGUGAGUGAUGAAGGUUUUCGGAUCGUAAAGCUCUGUUGUUAGGGAAGAACAAGUACCGUUCGAAUAGGGCGGUACCUUGACGGUACCUAACCAGAAAGCCACGGCUAACUACGUGCCAGCAGCCGCGGUAAUACGUAGGUGGCAAGCGUUGUCCGGAAUUAUUGGGCGUAAAGGGCUCGCAGGCGGUUUCUUAAGUCUGAUGUGAAAGCCCCCGGCUCAACCGGGGAGGGUCAUUGGAAACUGGGGAACUUGAGUGCAGAAGAGGAGAGUGGAAUUCCACGUGUAGCGGUGAAAUGCGUAGAGAUGUGGAGGAACACCAGUGGCGAAGGCGACUCUCUGGUCUGUAACUGACGCUGAGGAGCGAAAGCGUGGGGAGCGAACAGGAUUAGAUACCCUGGUAGUCCACGCCGUAAACGAUGAGUGCUAAGUGUUAGGGGGUUUCCGCCCCUUAGUGCUGCAGCUAACGCAUUAAGCAUUCCGCUUGGAGACGCAGGCC
rnacentral:rRNA from 1 species